rnacentral:lncRNA from 1 species
CCAUGAGACUGGAGAUAGAAAACAGAAGUUCACUGGGGCGGUGGGUCUGCCUUGGCUUACCCCCAAAUUUCUGGAUUCCAGGUGCCUUGCUCCAGUCCCCGCCCCAUCCUAGGCUCAGGAUGCUCUCCCACCCUACUAACCACCGGUCCGGUCAAAGCCCAAGCUGCUGCCAGCCGCCAUGUUAUCUCCUAGCCUGGCUAGGGUGCCUGCUAGCCAGCAGUGGCUAUGGUGGUGUGCAGAGUGAGGACCAAAUGGGUCACCGGCUACUGAAAAAGAAUCCAGACCUCUGAAAGGGAUCCGGGACCGCGGUCUUUGCUUGCUUCGUGAAAAAUCGGCUGGUCUCCAAACUCGCGAAGGAAAAUUCAAGGCGCC